rfam:Kluyvera intestini strain GT-16 tig00000000, whole genome shotgun sequence.
UUUGGCAUUGGGUUUACGCGCCAUGAUGCCAUUACCCACCGCGUGCAACAGGUGAGUUUUACCCAAACCCGUUCCACCAUA